CGUGCACAUCAGUUUGUGGGUUGUCGUCACCAGUGUUGCUUGGAUCUCCGUCGUCAUGGACUUCUUCCGGUGGUGGGUCAUCGUCGUGGGUGUUCUCCGGUUGUUUUUCGGUUGGUUUUCGUCGGCACGUGGGUGUUCUCGAGGUGUUCCCGUGGGUUGUCAUCACCGGUUUUGCUUGGAUCUCCGUCGUCGUGGGCUUCUUCCGAUGGUUGGUCAUCGUUGUUUCUUCGCCGGUGCAUGGCCUUUAAGUGGCGUUUUCUCUGGUUGGUUUUCCGGUGGUUGUUCGUCGUGGUUGUUCUUCCGUGGGUUAGCUCGUCGUUCAUCCAGCUGGUUUCGGUCGUAGAGGUGGGUCGCUAGCAUCAUGGUCAGCUCGCCGUUUGUCAGAUUUGCCGUCUCAACUCUGUUCGCAAAGGUUCGGUUCUCAUCGGCGUUCCAAUCUUCGAGCUCCGGUUCGGAUCUCUUCAAGUUUGUGGGUUGUGUAAGUUAUUUGCUUGGAAAGGCUUGAGAGCUUUGUCGAACGACUGGGUGUCGUCGUUGGCCUGGCAUGCAGCUUGGUAGGCAUUGAGACUGAUGGCGGCUACGGCUGGUUGGAGUUCUUCGGUAGUGCUGCCCCUUUCGGUGUGUUUGUUUCCCAUGGUGAUUGGAUUUUAGGGGAAAGAAAGAAAACCCAUAUGCGAAUUCAUUGUAGGGAGUUCCAGCAGUCGGCGUCAUGCAUUUGAGGAUUAGGUGAAGAAAAUGGAGGUUUGG